rnacentral:lncRNA from 1 species
GACAUUGCCAUCGAUAACAUAUAUUAUAUAACAUCCAAAAUAUUCAUACAUUAUCGUCCAAAUAUAAUGAAAACAUCACAUAUAUUCUAUUUAGCUAUAUGCUUAAUUAAGAAAAACAUAUUACAAAUGAGCGCAAUUUGCUAGAUAUUUGAAACGACAUUCUCUACAUCAACCUUCUCAUUAGUACUAGUACUCAUAGCUCAAUUUUUGGCUGCAUUCUCGAUUGAAAAAUGGUGCAUCAACUCCCAUCAAUCUCCCUGUGAAACAUAAAUGGUUUAAUUUAUUAUAUGCAAUCUCUCUAAAAAUAUAAGUAAAUAGAAGCACCAAGAAUCAGAUGACACCAAGAAAAAUUAAAUUGUCCCAGGUUUGCUCAAAGGGGCAUCUUGCUGGGUCUUCGCCAACAUCAUCUAUCCAAUGACCUAUUUCAUUAAAGUUCAUUUCAACAAUCAAUAAUUAUCUAUUUCAAAAGCUAAGAUAAUCAUAGCACAUAAAGUUAGUAUAGACUAUAUCUUGUUCUAUUGGACAAAAAACACAAAUGGGAUAUAGCUUACCUCUUUAUCUUUAAGCACUUUGCUCAAAACAGCAGCAGGUGCCCCAGCACAACAGAUUCCAUUUCGAAACUUAGAACAAGAAAACGAAUACUUGGAUUAAAUUUGAGAAAAAGAAGAACAAAAGUAGAGCAAAUAAAUAUUAAGUCCCUUGAGAAGCUGUAAGUCAUGGACACCAGCACGAUAAAUAAAUACAACUUUAGAAUUAUAAAUCGUAGGCACUCAAUACCAAAUUCAUGCAUGUAACUAUACGCAGUCAAAAAGUAAUAGAGGAACCAUCCAGAUCCAUCAUAGUUCACAAUAUUUGUUAAUGAGUGACUUGACCAGAGAGAUAGUUUGCGCAUCUACAUUUUCUCUAGCUAGUGAGACACAAUUGCACUUGCUAGUUAAAAUGAUGGGCUACAUUUCGAACAAGACUAUGAGCAAAUUCUUUAUACCUCUGAUGGAGCAAAGAACAAAUCUGAUGCAAGAAGAUUCGUGUUAGAUCUAUAGGUGCCAGACAGGACCAAAUAAAAGAAACGUAAAGGAUGAAAAGAGCUGAUAUAGAAGUCACAAAGUGAAAUUCCACAGAUGUUACAGCAGUAUUCUUUUAACCAUUAGAGUUCAUUUGAAACCAUUGCUCUUCUUAAUAUUUUCCAAAUCUUGGAUAAAAUUAAUUGCAGAACAGUUCAUUUAGGAAUCCAUGGUAUGAGAAACUAAAAAGAAAUGUGUUAACUAAACAUAAAACCCAUUUUAUCAAUAAGCGGGCGACAAUAGAAAGAACUUCACAUAAAUAAGAUCUGAAUCAAAUAAACUAAUGUUUUAUCAACUUUUUUUGAAUUAUCAAAGUAUGAUAGGCAGAUAUAUAGAUAUAAACAAAAUAAAGAGGCCAUGAGCAAUUUUUGAAAUGACAUCCUAUAUAUAUCAUCAUAUAAUGGAUGCUAGGAAGUAUAUACAGAUUCUCAUGAGAUAAAAGAAGAAAUUUAGCAAUAUCAUUCCAAAGAUUAAAUGUGAAAGCAACAAGUUUUAAGAAAGAAGCAUACAUAACUGCUACAAAUCAAGCCAAGUUGGAAUAAUACAAGAUGAAGUAGAUAUAGCCAGUAAAUAACAAGUCAUGACAGCUCCAAGUUUUCUAGAACUGAGAUGAUUUCAACAUCUUAGAUGGACAUCAAAUGCCAUAACUCAUCAUCAUAGAAGUAUGAAAUGCUUCGUAUAUGUGGAGAAAAACAAGGCAAGGACAUAAUGCAAUUUACUGACGUUUAAUUGCAACCAAUCAUUAGAAAUCCACUACACUAAGAAGUCGAUAUGCAACGACGUAGAAAACACUAUCAUCAAUAGAAAAGAGAUGGGACAGGAAACUUAGCUUCGAAAGGGGAGAAUUACGGCUACCUUGCUCUGUAACCAAGGAGAGCGGCACGACGACGAACUUCCGACGCACGACGGAGCUCGGAGGAUCGACGGAGGCGGCAGGCCCUCACCUGCUCGGUAGAGAAAUGUAACAGCAGCGAGAGAUUGGGAAAGUGUCGAGAGAGAGCUAGGACUCGAUUUCUAUUCUCUUCGUGUGUGAGGGAGAUCUGUUCAUGAGAGUGAGUGAGAGAGGUAACGAGAGAGCGGAGGUGACAACCACUUGCCCGAACCUCGAAGACCAUGGCAGUGAGCGGCGUUCAUCGACGUUCCUCAGUCGGCGGUGCCAGAUUCAGAGAGAAGAAGAGGAGGAGAACGGACGAAGCCCGACCAUUCUCUGGUGUUCCAGUUGCAGCGACGGCGGUAUUUCUUUCUAUGAAAGCUAGGGCUCAAAAUCGGAAGGGAAAGGGAAGGAGAAAGCCUCCGGCGUGGAGGCAUCGACAAAGCCGGAGAGAAGGGCGCUGCGUUGCCGGAUUUCGGCUUAGUCGGCGGCGAUUCCUGAUUUGGGGAGGAAAUAAGGGCUCCCCUUUUGUCUUCAUCCGUGAUUUUUGAGAGAGAAGAAUGAAUGACGGGAGGAAGUAGUCGAAGAGCGGCGCCCUAGGCCGGACAUAGCCUCGCCGGAGCCGGUGGGAAGGCGGACAGAGAGAGGAUUGCGGUGGUGAGCGUGAUGGAGAAGAUAGAGAGAGGCCAGGUUCGAUUUGGGGAAAAUUUGGUGGUGGUUAGGGUUUUUAUUUUUUAUUAUUUAU